rnacentral:rRNA from 1 species
ACGAAGGAUCCAAGCGUUGUCCGGAUUUACUGGGUUUAAAGGGUGCGUAGGCGGAAAAUUAAGUCAGUGGUGAAAGCCCGCAGCUCAACUGUGGAACUGCCAUUGAAACUGGUUUUCUUGAAUAUAGCUGAGGCAGAUGGAAUAUAACAUGUAGCGGUGAAAUGCUUAGAUAUGUUAUAGAACACCGAUUGCGAAGGCAGUCUGCUAAACUAUUAUUGACGCUGAGGCACGAAAGCGUGGGGAGCGAACAGGAUUAGAUACCCUGGUAGUCCACGCCCUAAACGUUGAUUACUCGCUGUUGGCGAUAUACUGUCAGUGGCUAAGCGAAAGCAUUAAGUAAUCCACCUGGGAAGUACGACCGCAAGGUUG